UACGGAGGGUGCGAGCGUUGUCCGGAAUCAUUGGGCGUAAAGGGCGCGUAGGUGGCCCGGUCAGUCCGUGGUGAAAGCGCGGGGCUCAACCCUGCGUCGGCCAUGGAUACUGCCGCGGCUGGAGCACUGUAGAGGCAGGCGGAAUUCCGGGUGUAGCGGUGGAAUGCGUAGAGAUCCGGAAGAACACCGAUGGCGAAGGCAGCCUCCUGGGCCAGCACUGACGCUCAUGCACGAAAGCGUGGGGAGCAAACAGG
rnacentral:rRNA from 1 species